UGAGACGGUCGGGCGGCCGCGCGGCCCCUUCUGGGGCCUCGAGGAACGUCCGGGCUCCACAGGGCAGGGUGGUGGCCAACAGCCACCCGGGGUGACCCGCGGGACAGUGCCACAGAGAACAGACCGCCACGGGCUUCGGCCCGGGGCAAGGGUGAAACGGUGGGGCAAGAGCCCACCAGCGACACGGGUGACCGUGUCGGCUCGGCAAACCCCACCCGGAGCAAGACCAAGCAGCAGAUGCCACGGACGGCCCGUCCAAUGUCUGCGGGUAGGUUGCUGGAGGCCUGCGGCAACGCAGGUCCUAGAUGGAUGGUCGCCACCGCACGCUGGAAUCGGCGCGCGGGACAGAACCCGGCGUACAGACCGUCUCAUCCG
rnacentral:RNase_P_RNA from 1 species